rnacentral:rRNA from 1 species
AGUCUUAACUGGGCGUUAAGUUGCAGGUAUAGACCCGAAACCCGGUGAUUCAGCCAUGGGCAGGUUGAAGGUUGGGUAACACUAACUGGAGGACCGAACCGACUAAUGUUGAAAAAUUAGCGGAUGACUUGGGGGUGAAAGGCCAAUCAAACCGGGAGAUAGCUGGUUCUCCCGAAAGCUAUUUAGGUAGCGCCUCGUGAACUCAUCUUCGGGGUAGCACUGUUUCGGCUAGGGGGUCAUCCCGACUUACCAACCCGAUGCAAACUACGAAUACCGAAGAAUGUUAUCACGGGAGACACACGGCGGGUGCUAACGUCCGUCGUGAAGAGGGAAACAACCCAGACCGCCAGCUAAGGUCCCAAAGUCAUGGUUAGUGGGAAACGAUGUGGGAAGGCACAGACAGCCGUGAUGUUGGCUUAGAAGCAGCCAUCAUUUAAAGAAAGCGUAAUAGCUCACUGGUCGAGUCGGCCUGCGCGAAGAUGUAACGGGGCUAAACCAUGCACCGAAGCUGCGGCAGCGACACUAUGUGUUGUUGGGUAGGGAGCGUUCUGUAAGCCUGCGAAGGUGUGCUGUGGCAUGCUGGAGGUAUCAGAAGUGCGAAUGCUGACAUAAGUAACGAUAAAGCGGGUGAAAAGCCCGCUCGCCGGAAGACCAAGGGUUCCUGUCCAACGUUAAUCGGGGCAGGGUGGUCGACCCUAAGGCGAGGCCGAAAGGCGUAGUCGAUGGGAAACAGGUUAAUAUUCCUGUACUUGGUGUUACUGCGAAGGGGACGGAGAAGGCUAUGUUAGCCGGGCGACGGUUGUCCCGGUUUAAGCAUGUAGGCUGGUUAUCCGGCAAAUCCGGAUAAUCAAGGCUGAGGUGUGAUGACGAGGCACUACGGUGCUGAAGUAACAAAUGCCCUGCUUCCGGAAAAGCCUCUAAGCAUCAGGUAACAUCAAAUCGUACCCCAAACCGACACAGGUGGUCAGGUAGAGAAUACCAAGGCGCUUGAGAGAACUCGGGUGAAGGAACUAGGCAAAAUGGUGCCGUAACUUCGGGAGAAGGCACGCUGGUGUGGUGAAGUCCCUGCGGAUGGAGCUGAGACCAGUCGAAGAUACCAGCUGGCUGCAACUGUUUAUUAAAAACACAGCACUGUGCAAACACGAAAGUGGACGUAUACGGUGUGACGCCUGCCCGGUGCCGGAAGGUUAAUUGAUGGGGUUAUCCGUAAGGAGAAGCUCUUGAUCGAAGCCCCGGUAAACGGCGGCCGUAACUAUAACGGUCCUAAGGUAGCGAAAUUCCUUGUCGGGUAAGUUCCGACCUGCACGAAUGGCGUAAUGAUGGCGGGCUGUCUCCACCCGAGACUCAGUGAAAUUGAACUCGCUGUGAAGAUGCAGUGUACCCGCGGCAAGACGGAAAGACCCCGUGAACCUUUACUAUAGCUUGACACUGAACAUUGAGCCUUGAUGUGUAGGAUAGGUGGGAGGCUUUGAAGCGUGGACGCCAGUCUGCGUGGAGCCAACCUUGAAAUACCACCCUUUAAUGUUUGAUGUUCUAACGUUGGCCCCUUACCGGGGUUGCGGACAGUGUCUGGUGGGUAGUUUGACUGGGGCGGUCUCUCCCAAAGCGUAACGGAGGAGCACGAAGGUUAGCUAAUCGGUCGGACAUCAGGAGGUUAGUGCAAUGGCAUAAGCUAGCUUGACUGCGAGCGUGACGGCGCGAGCAGGUGCAGCAGGUCAUAGUGAUCCGGUGGUUCUGAAUGGAAGGGCCAUCGCUCAACGGAUAAAAGGUACUCCGGGGAUAACAGGCUGAUACCGCCCAAGAGUUCAUAUCGACGGCGGUGUUUGGCACCUCGAUGUCGGCUCAUCACAUCCACGGGGCUGAAGUAGGUCCCAAGGGUAUGGCUGUUCGCCAUUUAAAGUGGUACGCGAGCUGGGUUUAGAACGUCGUGAGACAGUUCGGUCCCUAUCUGCCGUGGGCGCUGGAGAAUUGAGGGCUGCUCCUAGUACGAGAGGACCGGGUGGACGCAUCACUGGUGUUCGGGUUGUCAUGCCAAUGGCACUGCCCGGUAGCUAAAUGCGGAAGAGAUAAGUGCUGAAAGCAUCUAAGCACGAAACUUGCCCCGAGAUGAGUUCUCCCUGAGACUUUAAGUCUCCUGAAGGAACGUUGAAGACGACGACGUUGAUAGGCCGGGUGUGUAAGCGCAGCGAUGCGUUGAGCUAACCGGUACUAAUGAACCGUGAGGCUUAACCUU